UACGUAGGGUGCGAGCGUUGUCCGGAAUUAUUGGGCGUAAAGAGCUUGUAGGCGGUUUGUCGCGUCUGCUGUGAAAAUCCGGGGCUCAACCCCGGACUUGCAGUGGGUACGGGCAGACUAGAGUGUGGUAGGGGAGACUGGAAUUCCUGGUGUAGCGGUGAAAUGCGCAGAUAUCAGGAGGAACACCGAUGGCGAAGGCAGGUCUCUGAGCCACUACUGACGCUGAGGCGCGAAAGCUAGGGGGAGCAAACAGG
rnacentral:rRNA from 1 species